GGGGGGAGUUGCAAAUAACUGGUGUUCUGGAACUGCAGUAAGUGCGAAUGGAUGAAGUUCUUCAGUUUAUCUCUGAGCCAGGUGGAGACAAUUGUUCAACUUUUGCCGAGCCUCUCCUGUCCCAGACAUGCUCCUCCACCUCCAAGUGCAAUAUCCUCUGGUUUACCUGGACACAUUCAUCUCGAGAGACUCCGUGUAUCCGAAUGUUCAAGCAGCCACCUGAAAUGGCCAAGGAUUGAUCAGACUCAAGUGGAAUUUGGAAUUGAGGCCCAGGAGUUAAAGUGAUCCAGGCUUCACUUGAGUGUAUCCAGAUUACUUCUGGCUCAGAAUAAUAGAAGAGCUACUGGACCCUCCUCCCACCCUGAUUGGUGACUGAGCAUUCUGGCAGCAUGAUGAUCGAACAGAAGGAGCCAGCCUUCAGAAUAGUUGUAGCAAGAGAAAAGGAGAAAAAAAAAACAGAAAGAGGAAAGGGAAGAAAGGAAGAAAGAGAAGGGGAAAGAAGGAAGGAAGAGUGAAAUAUGGAUGAAAAUAAAGAAGGAAAGGAGUGAAAACAAGAAAAACUUAACACCUUUCAGAAUGUCCUGAAAUCCUUUACAGCCAAUUAAGCAUAUUUCCCAAAAAAAUG